AUGUAUUUUGUAUUGUCAACUGCUUGGAACAGGGGGAUAAACUUUGUUGCUAUUGAUCUAAACAAGCCACUACCAGAACAAGGUCAAUUUGGGGAUUUAAUUGCUGACUUAGCCAUUGAAGCUACUACAACAGUAGGUGUUGAGAUUGACCAAGAUGUGGUUUCCCCUGGCAAAAUGUCCAAAAGGUUGUUAACCCACGCAUCAUUCUUCUUGAUUCUCCCCUUGAGUACAAAAAGGGUGAAAACCAAACAAAUGCCGAACUGCUCAAAGAAGAAGACUGGAUUCUCUUAUUGAAGAUGGAAGAAUAAUAUAUUGAGGAGCUAUGCAUGCAGAUAUUGAAGUUUAAACUGGACUUGGUUAUUUUGGACAAGGGUCUGACUGAUUUGGCAACCCAUUAUCUCAGCAAGCAUGGAGUUAGUGCAAUGAGGAGGCUGAGGAAAAGUGAUAAUAAUAGAAUUGCAAAGGCUUGUGGUGCUGUUAUUGUGAACAGACCAGAUGAAUUGCAGGAGUCUGAUGUUGGUACUGGUGCUGGGUUAUUUGAGGUUAACAAAAUUGGAGAUGAGUACUUCGCAUAUAUUGUUGAUUGCAAAGAACCCAAGGCUUGUACUGUUCUACUAAGGGGUGCUAGUAAGGAUCUAUUCAAUGAAGUUGAAAGAAACCCACAGGAUGCCAUGUCUGUUGCAAGGAACAUUAUAAAAAAUCCUAAACUUGUUCCUGGAGGUGGUGCUACAGAGUUGACGGUGUCGGCUGGCUCGAAACAAAAGAUUUCAUCUAUUGAGGGCAUAGAGAAGUGCCCUUAUGAAGCUGCUGCCGUAGCUUUUGAAGCCAUACCACGAACUUUGGCUCAAAAUUGUGGAGUAAAUGUCAUCCGGACUAUGACUGGUCUACAAGGAAAGCAUGCAAAUGGAGGGAUGGCAAGGGAGUGAAGGGACAAAGUGUUCGUGUAUGCUUAUGAGGAUUGAUGAUAUAGUGAGUGGGAUGAAGAAGAAGCAAGCCCCUGGAGCUCCUCCUUCAAAACCCAAGGUUGAGACCGAGGCAGAUGCUGACAGUGAGCAAAUCCUUGCUGACUGAGAAUCUCGGUUCAACAGACAUUGUUGUUUGGUAGAGUUGAUGAUGUUGUGCUAGGUUCUUUAUCUUCCUUAAAUCUUAUCACUAUGCUUAGGAGUUUUGAGUCGUUUAUUGGGAUGUUGUUUUUUGUGCCUUCUACUGUUUGCAAGAGCAAUUUGUGUACUUUGUUGAUGUUAAACACUUAAUUAACUGGCGUAUGCUUUAAAAAAAAAA